rnacentral:ribozyme from 1 species
UGUGAGAAAGAGCGAGAACCAAGCCCACACCAAAAAAAAAAAAACCAAUUUUGACAAUACAGAGAAUUCAUUUUUGUAAUUUUACUUUUUCCCCUUGUUUUUUUU